AAGAUGAAGACUUGCCAUGAUCAAGAAUACCAGCUAUUUGCUGAAGUUCAUCUUUCAAAACGAACAGCAUGGAGUACAGUACUCAUCAGAUGCUGUGAACAGGUGUAGCCCAAAUGCAACAGAUUCAGACUUUGAUGCAGCAAUGGCAGAUCACCUGAAGCACACUGGGGUUGAUGGAUACUUGUUUUAUGGCUGUUUUAACAGUAAUACAAGACUGUUAGGAAAUAA